rnacentral:rRNA from 1 species
GACAGAGGGGGCAAGCGUUGCUCGGAAUCACUGGGCGUAAAGGGCGCGUAGGCGGGAUGGCAAGUCAGUCGUGAAAUCUCUCGGCUCAACCGAGAAACGUCGGCUGAUACUGCCGUUCUUGAGGGAUGCAGAGGAGACUGGAAUUCCCGGUGUAGCGGUGAAAUGUGUAGAGAUCGGGAAGAACACCAGUGGCGAAGGCGGCGCUCUGGGCCGGAACUGACGCUGAGGAGCGAAAGCGUGGGUAGCAAACAGG